GACGAACGCUGGCGGCGUGCUUAACACAUGCAAGUCGAACGGAAAGGCCUGCUUUCCCUUGUGGAUUGCGGGUACUCGAGUGGCGAACGGGUGAGUAACACGUGAGUGAUCUGCCCCCAACUUGGGUAUAAGCCUGGGAAACUGGGUCUAAUUCCCGAUAGGACUGCAGGGUGGUGCCUGUGGUGGAAAACGAUUUUCUAGUGGUUGGGGAUGAGCUCGCGGCCUAUCAGCUUGUUGGUGGGGUAAUGGCCUACCAAGGCGGCGACGGGUAGCCGGCCUGAGAGGGUGGACGGCGACAUUGGGACUGAGAUACGGCCCAGACUCCUACGGGAGGCAGCAGUGGGGAAGAUUGCACAAUGGGCGGAAGCCUGAUGCAGCGACGCAGCGUGGGGGAUGACGGCCUUCGGGUUGUAAACUCCUUUCGACCGCGAGGAAGCCACCUGGUUGGAAGGGUGGUGACGGUAGUGGUAGAAGAAGCACCGGCUAACUACGUG
rnacentral:rRNA from 1 species